rnacentral:rRNA from 1 species
GACGUAGGGCGCGAGCGUUGUCCGGAAUUAUUGGGCGUAAAGAGCUCGUAGGCGGUUUGUCGCGUCUGCUGUGAAAACUCAGGGCUUAACCCUGAGCUUGCAGUGGGUACGGGCAGACUAGAGUGUGGUAGGGGGAGACUGGAAUUCCUGGUGUAGCGGUGAAAUGCGCAGAUAUCAGGAGGAACACCGAUGGCGAAGGCAGGUCUCUGGGCC